GGUGAGAUGGCCGAGCGGUCUAAGGCGCCAGGUUCAGGCCCACCUGAAUUUCUGAUUCUUCUCUGAAGUAUCUUCCUGGUCUCGAAAGGGGCGUGGGUUCGAAUCCCACUCUCAUCA
rnacentral:tRNA from 2 species